rnacentral:tRNA from 1 species
AUUCCUAAUUUAUAUAGUUUAAUAAAAACCUUACAUUUUCAAUGUAAAAUUAAAUAAGUUAAUUUUUUAA